UACGUAGGGGGCAAGCGUUGUCCGGAAUCAUUGGGCGUAAAGAGCGUGUAGGCGGUCCGGUAAGUCAGCUGUGAAAGUCAACGGGCUCAACUGUUGAAAGCCGGUGGAUACUGUCGGGCUAGAGUACGGAAGAGGCAAGUGGAAUUCCUGGUGUAGCGGUGGAAUGCGCAGAUAUCAGGAGGAACACCUAUAGCGAAGGCAGCUUGCUGGGACGUUACUGACGCUAAGGCGCGAAAGCGUGGGGAGCGAACAGG
rnacentral:rRNA from 1 species